UGUGCGGUUUUGUUUGAUCUGUGUGUAGCUUAUGUGAAGAAUAUGCACUUUUUUGGUUGAUCAACCUGAGCUGAACUAAUAAUAACGGUAGGAGCUGCUAAGGACUAAGAGAAAAGGACUGAUCCAGAGACUCAGCCAUCAGAAUUCCUGCACUACACAGAGAGAAGGCAUUCAGUAGAUCAGCCAUUCCAGAUGAGGAAUUGUUUCUGGGAGACAUAAUGGUCUCUGUAUCUCUCUGAAUAGUUUUCCGGUUUGCAAUGCAACACUCCGUCAGUUUGUGUAAAGCCUAGUUGUCUACAAUAAGACAGGUAUUCAGUCAGCAAGAUGCAGCACCUGUUUGCUGUUUGCCUUGUUGAUACUCAAAAGAAGAAGAAAGAGAAACACAACUUCACAGUACAAGUACUAUCAGUACAUGUACCAUAGAAGACAGGAAUACAAAGAAGUAGGUACUGGACAACUCACUGGAGAUUGAUGUUUGAGAGCCUGACACAGUAAUCUGUCUCUGCUUCAGGAGCAAAACAUGGCUGCUGGAGGCACAGACAAAGAUUUUAAACUGGUCAUCCCUGAUGAUAUUGUGGAGUUUUCUCCUGGCCAGGAUGUCACUCUGCGCUGUUACCUCUCUCCUGCAACCAGUGCUGUUGCCAUGGAGAUCAGGUGGUUCAAGAAAACAGAGUGUAUUUACCUAUAUAAGAAUGGUGACAUAACAGUACGGGAGGGUUAUGAGGGCAGAGUGAGUGUGGACACUCAGAACCUGCAGAGAGGAGACGUGUCCCUGAGACUGCAAGAGGGCAGAAGAAUGGAU